UACAGAGGUGGCAAUCGUUGUUCGGAAUUACUGGGCGUAAAGGGCGCGUAGGCGGUCCUGUAAGUCCCGUGUGAAAUCCCCCGGCUCAACUGGGGAAUGGCACGGGAGACUGCGGGGCUUGAGUUCGGGAGAGGGAAGCGGAAUUCCGGGCGUAGCGGUGAAAUGCGUAGAUAUCCGGAGGAACACCGGUGGCGAAGGCGGCUUCCUGGACCGACACUGACGCUAAGGCGCGAAAGCUAGGGGAGAAAACGGG
rnacentral:rRNA from 1 species